rnacentral:rRNA from 1 species
UACAGAGACGUCGAGCGUUGUUCGGAUUCAUUGGGCGUAAAGGGUGCGUAGGCGGUGAGGUAAGUCGGAUGUGAAAUCCCCAAGGCUUAACCUUGGAAGUGCAUCCGAAACUACCUCGCUUGAGGACUGGAAGGGAGACUGGAAUUCUCGGUGUAGCGGUGAAAUGCGUAGAUAUCGAGAGGAACACCUGUGGCGAAGGCGGGUCUCUGGACAGUUCCUGACGCUGAGGCACGAAAGCCAGGGGAGCAAACGGG